CUGGAACUGAGACACGGUCCAGACUCCUACGGGAGGCAGCAGUGGGGAAUAUUGCACAAUGGGCGCAAGCCUGAUGCAGCCAUGCCGCGUGUAUGAAGAAGGCCUUCGGGUUGUAAAGUACUUUCAGCGAGGAGGAAGGCGGUAAGGUUAAUAACCUUAUCGAUUGACGUUACUCGCAGAAGAAGCACCGGCUAACUCCGUGCCAGCAGCCGCGGUAAUACGGAGGGUGCAAGCGUUAAUCGGAAUUACUGGGCGUAAAGCG
rnacentral:rRNA from 1 species